GAGUGGCCAGCAAGGCUGAGCCACAGUCCCGGCUGCCCUGUGCUUUCCAGGCUGCCUUGCGGCUGGGGAGACCAUGUGACCAGCUCUGGCCAAUGGGACUUCAAUGGAAGGAGCGCUCCUAGGACAGGCUGCCUGGCACAGUUCCCUUCUCUUCCUGCUUUGAGAAAGUUCCUGAUCUUUGAAAGUGCAGUAACUAUAUUUCCACAGGAAAGGCCAAGAGAAGCACGGAGAUGCCAGCCGUGGCAGUGCUGAGCACCAGCCCCCACCCCCUUGCAGGUGGUUCAAAUGGGUAGCCGCUGACCGGGAAGAAGUUCAGGGCUGGCAGUCCACUGAGACGGGCCCUGACAGGGACUACGGCUGAAGAGGAACCCAGCCCAGGUGCUCCCUCAGGGAAGUGCUCCCCGCCUCCAGCCUCAGGCCUUGUUCUUGAUCCUCUUGACAGGCAGAGGUGAGGAAGGCUGACCCAGCAGGGAGGAACUGAGGGCCCAGCAAGCUCCUGGGGCUCUGCGGGGACUUUUCCUGCUCUGGGGGCAGGCGGCCUGGGGGAAGUCCUUGAUCUUGAACCCAGACAGUUGGAGUCUGCAGGUGGCCCUGCUUUCAAAGUGAACUCCCCGUGAUUCUGGCCUUUCCAGCUGAGGAAGUCUGUGAGUCCAGGAGGCUUCCGGAAGGCUGCUCAGCACCUGUUCAACAAAGGCGCCAGCCCCCAGGAGCAGAGGGAAAUGGGCAAGUGCCCGGGGCUCUCGACCGGGCGGGAUCAGUCAAGCAUGGCAUCGAUAGUGGAACAAAGGUACAAACCAGAUUUAUGUGUUUUAAACAGGGAGGACUCUCAAAAUGUGCUGUGGAGUAAAAAAGUGCAAGUUGCCAAACCACGUGUGGUGCAGGAUGCCAACUAUGUGAAAACAUUUCCACAGAAACAAUACAAUCCGUUUUGUGUAGGUGUACAUAUAAAUAAAGGAAUGGAAAUGUCUACAUUCUUAAAAGUUCUGGAGCAUAUGUAUCAAACCCUAAAGAGUAGUUACCCCUGGGGAGUGGAGAGGGAGACAGGGAGUGAAGGUGACAGGGAAAGAAACUUGAGAUUUAUCAGUAAUAUUUUAAUUUUUUAAAGAAAGUUCACUUAUGUAUGUAAUUAAACUUAUUUUUAAAACUCUAACCGUUGGUGUAAAGGCAAAGCAUAGGGUUAGAGUUUGAGGAGAACGAAGCCCUGCUCCAGUCCUCGAUACUCCAUGCCCGUAGGGCCGUUCUUUAACUGCCUGCCUUUGGUUAUUGCCUGGGUGAAAUGGGCAUAAAAACAUAGUGACUCCAGAGGGCUUCCCAAAGAACUAAGUGGCCUGGUCGACGGAGAUAUACAUAUGCUAGUUAUAAGUAGCAUUUUGUGUUUAAAAACAAUUUAGAGUCUCUAUAAAGACAGACUCAAAAUAAAAUCCAAUGUCUCUCCCCAAGGACAGAAAAAAGAGAGUGGCCACGAAGGAGCCGCCUUGAGUCUACUGAGAGCAGGUCAUGUCAGACUAACGUUACUUCCUCUGUUCACAGGAGGAGGGAAGGGCAAGAAGCAAACACUUAUGAUGGCUUUCCAGUGACUCCAGCUCUGUGCUGGGUGUCCUCAGAGUUCCCACCACCCCGAGAGGUUUCUCGGGGCAACCUGAACCAGGUUUGGUGAGGUUAGGAAACUCGCCUCCGGGGGACGCUGGGGAUCUGGGUUCAGAUCUAGAUUCAAAUGAUCCCAGGCAGCUAAGGGCCGGAGCAGCAGCAGCAGCAAGGACAACAGCUGCUGCCACCCUGGGCUGUCAUUUGAUCCUCACAAGGAUGGUAAAUUUUUUUACUCACAUUUUACAAGUGAAGAAAAUGAGACAGCAAGAAAGGUUAAGUAGGCCAGCCCAAAGUCACAGGUCUGUCUUGUCCCCAAAUCCGAGGUCUUAACCAUGCCACCCUAUGCCUCUCUCUUCCACCUACACCCGCCCCACACCAGGGAGGCUCUGGCCUCCUCCUCACGGGGAGAUUCUGUCAGAAGCUCUGAAAAGUGGCAACCACCUCUCUAGACUGGGUUAGUGGAUCAGGUUGACUGACGCUGGGGGCAGGGCAUGCGGAAUCCUGUGGGCACCUGGAUUGCAGCCAGGUUUCUGAGCGAGAUGCUCUUCAGGGCCAGGAGGUCAGGAAGGAGACAUGGGAGAUGAAAACUGAUACUGCUUGUUUAGUGGGUUGAAUUGUGUCCGCCAAAAAGAUGUGUUCAAGUCCUCACCCCGGUACCUACGAAUGUGACCUUAUUUGGAAAUGGGGUCUUUGCAGGUGUAAUCUAGUUACGGCGAACUCCUACUGGAUCAAGGUGAGCCCUAAAUCCAGUGACUGGCGUCCUUAUAAGAAGAGGGAAAUUUGGGCACAGAGACUCAAUGAAGACACACACACACAGAGAAGAAGGCCAUGAGAAGAUGGAGGCAGACGUGGAGUGAUGCAGCUACAAGCCAAGGAUGCCAAGGAUUGCCGGCCACCAACAACAGUUAGGGAGACGCCAGGAAGGAUUCUUCCCUAGAGUCUUUGGAGGGAGCGUGGCCCAGCCGAUACCUUGACUUAGGACUUCUGGCCUCCAGAACUGGGAGAGAAUGAAUUUUUGUUGUUUCAAGCCACCCAUGUGUGGCAACAUGUUCUGGCGGCCCUAGGAAACUAACACAGCCCGGUUGCUCCACGGCUGAUUGGGCAAUCCCGGCAUGACCUGUGGGCUUGCGCAGUGGGACAGAGGGCUUCGUCCUUGACCCUAAUUUAUUUUAUUAUCCUCUUGGAUAAAAAUAAAGAGAGUGUCUGCCAAUCAAAUACGUGGAUUAUUCAAAACCUGGAGAGAUGGUGAGUACUGAAGACAGGCUCUAUAUUCAAAAACAUCUCAAUGAACUGCAAUAAUGGGUCACAUUUUAUAAACUGAAACUUAACUAGGACAAAGUUUUUAAUUUAGGUUCAAAGAACUAACUGCAUGAAUGUGGAAUGGGGAACCUCUGGCUUAAUGACAGCUCAUAUAAUAAAAGGUGUUGGCCACAGCUGAGUACGAGCCAACAAUGCAUUGCAGUCAUUAAAAAAAGCUAGUGCACAUUUAAGGUGCUCCACUGACAAGGAGAAAUGAGACCAGCACCCCGUAGGUCGCUGAGCUGGUCAGGCCACAUCUGGAGCUUCAAUCAGCUCUGAGUACCUCAUUUUAGAGUUUUGACACUACUCAGCAUCCAGGGAAAGAGAGCCAGGAAAGUGAGGGGUCCAGAAACUGUCAUGCAAAGAAAAUCGGGGUGGGUCGGGGGCGGCCCUGAGGAGUAGUGGUUAAGUUUGCACACUCUGCUUCAGCAGCCCAGGGUUCAC